rnacentral:miRNA from 1 species
ACAAGGGUCCUUCAACCGCUAAGUA